rnacentral:rRNA from 1 species
UACGUAGGGGGCGAGCGUUAUCCGGAAUUACUGGGCGUAAAGCGCACGCAGGCGGUUCGCCAAGUUUGGAGUGACAGUUGUCGGCUCAACCGACAAAGGACUUCAAAAACUGGUGAACUUGAGGACGAGAGAGGAACAUGGAACUCCAGGUGUAGUAGUGAAAUGCGUAGAUAUCUGGAAGAACACCAAUGGCGAAGGCAAUGUUCUGGCUCGUUUCUGACGCUCCGGUGCGAAAGCCAGGGGAGCGAACGGG